GUAGUCGAAUAUAGCAUGAAAAAGCUGUCGACGUGAAAAAUCUCACAUGAAAAGUGAAAUUCAGUAGUGUUCUUUGACUCUUCAUCCAGUCAGAAUAGUCAUCUAAGAAGCACGAAUCCCCCUACUGAAAGGGUGUAAUAAAUAAGUAGAUUCAGGAAAGUGACAGUAGUUGGACAAGUGAAUCCAGCAAAAAGAUCAGGAUGGUCAUGGACGAGGCAACUUGCGUAGCUGAUAAAAAGAAUUCUAAACAAAUGGGAUUAUGUAUGUGAUUGGAAAAAUUAUCUAUGGUUGCUCGAAGUUAGUGGUCUCUCCAUGCUUGAUCAAUCCGGUUCCAGUAUGGUGAAAAUAACUAUGCAGAACCAGAUAAGCAUUAAGUUACUGAUGCUCAUGCUUUUGAGGUAGAG
rnacentral:misc_RNA from 1 species